UGAGUUUGAUUAUGGCUCAGAUUGAACGCUGGCGGCAUGCCUUACACAUGCAAGUCGAACGGCAACGGGCCCUUUGGGUGCCGGCGAGUGGCGAACGGGUGAGUAACACAUCGGAACGUACCCUGUGGAGGGGGAUAACCCGUCGAAAGACGGGCUAAUACCGCAUAAGCUCUGAGGAGGAAAGCGGGGGACCGCGAGGCCUCGCGCCACAGGAGCGGCCGAUGUCCGAUUAGCUAGUUGGUGGGGUAAAGGCUUACCAAGGCGAGGAUCGGUAGCGGGUCUGAGAGGACGGCCCGCCACACUGGGACUGAGACACGGCCCAGACUCCUACGGGAGGCAGCAGUGGGGAAUCUUGGACAAUGGGGGGAACCCUGAUCCAGCAAUGCCGCGUGGGUGAAGAAGGCCUUCGGGUUGUAAAGCCCUUUCGGCAGGGAAGAAAACGGCUGGGUUAAUAAUCCAGCUGGAUGACGGUACCUGCAGAAGAAGCACCGGCUAACUACGUGCCAGCAGCCGCGGUAAUACGUAGGGUGCGAGCGUUAAUCGGAUUUACUGGGCGUAAAGCGUGCGCAGGCGGUUCGCUANGACAGGUGUGAAAUCCCUGGGCUUAACCUAGGAAUU
rnacentral:rRNA from 1 species